AGCGAACGCUGGCGGCAGGCUUAACACGUGCAAGCCGAACGCCCCGCAAGGGGAGUGGUAGACGGGUGAGUAACACGUGGGAACGUACCCUUUGGUUAGGAAUAACUUGGGGAAACUCAAGCUAAUACCGGAUAAGCCCUUAUGGGGAAAGGUUUACUGCCGAAGGAUCGGCCCGCGUCCGAUUAGCUAGUUGGUGAGGUAAUGGCUCACCAAGGCGACGAGCAGUAGCUGGUCUGAGAGGAUGAUCAGUCACACUGGGACUGAGAUACGGCCAAGACUCCAACAGGAGGCAGCAGUGGGGAAGAUUGCACAAUGGGCGCAAGCCUGAUGCAGCGACGCCGCGUGAGGGAUGACGGCCGUCGGGUUGCAAACCUCUUACAGCUAUGACGAAGCGCAAGUGACGGUAGCAGCAGAAGAAGGACCGGCCAACAACGUGCCAGCAGCCGCCGUAA
rnacentral:rRNA from 1 species